UGUUCUUGUUUAUUUCUUUCUUCAAUAAUCUCAUCUAGCUUGGACAGCCUCUACAUUACAUUAAAUAAAAAUAAAGAAAUAUAGUGUUGAUAUGGUUUGUGUAUCACAGUAAGUGCAAGAUUUAGAGACUACAAAAAGUGAUCUCCAAAACGGAAAACCAGGAAAGACAUUGACGUAUUUCCUUAUGUCUGAAUUCUUCUCAGUGCUUUUGAACAGUGCCAGAGCUUCUAAUGUACUUUAAAAGACCUUAAAAAUUCAGGGAAAUAUUCAGUUUGAAGCACAAAGCUCUCCUCAGAAGCUAUUUUCUAUCACAGCAUUUCCUGGUUUGAUUUACGUCCAUA
rnacentral:lncRNA from 1 species